UGGGGAAUUUUCCGCAAUGGGCGAAAGCCUGACGGAGCAAUACCGCGUGAGGGAAGAAGGUCUGUGGAUUGUAAACCUCUUUUCUGAAGGAAGAUAAUGACGGUACUUCAGGAAUAAGCAUCGGCUAACUCCGUGCCAGCAGCCGCGGUAAUACGGAGGAUGCAAGCGUUAUCCGGAAUCAUUGGGCGUAAAGCGUCCGUAGGUGGUUAGGCAAGUCUAUUGUUAAAGAGUGGGGCUUAACUCCAUAAAGGCAGUAGAAACUGCAAGACUAGAGAAUGGUAGGGGCAGAGGGAAUUCCCGGUGUAGCGGUGAAAUGCGUAGAGAUCGGGAAGAACACCAGUGGCGAAAGCGCUCUGCUGGACCUAUUCUGACACUGAGGGACGAAAGCUAGGGGAGCGAA
rnacentral:rRNA from 1 species